CCGUUUGAUAAGGUACAAAAGAACCUUUGAAAAAUUAAACAUCUCUGCUAAGUAUGUAAUAUACUCUGCUACUACUAAUUUAAGCAUUUUUUCUUUAGAUGGCGUCUGCACAAAAUGCACUGGCUAAAGACGUAAAAUAAAAGAGAAGCUGGUCUGUAUUAAAGAACACUUUUUGUCCUCAAAGGCCACCAUUGCUCCACAAACAUUGGGAGUGAGCAUGGAGGGUUUCCCAUUUUAGAAUCUGACCACUAUGUAAUGCUUAAUACGACCAUUUCUACACACUGUUUGUGUUUUUAACAUAGGACUGUCUGCUUUAAUUACAAGACUAUUGUUGCAUUUCUUUUUUAAUAAUCCAAAUAAAAGUAGAAAGCCAAACAUCAGAGAGCGGG